CAGCCAUCUCUGGGCUCCUCGCCUCUCCCUCGGCCCUCCCAAGGACUGGGCUCCCCGAAAUCCUGGAAUGGGGCUUGAUGCUCCCCAUUCUACCCUGAGAAUGACUGUGCUCAGGCGGAAGGGAAGAUCCUGAGCUGGAAGCCACAACCUUUCUUCCUCUAGCAACAGGUUUACUUCCUCUUUUCCUUCUCUCCUGUAGCCUCUGCUGGCUCCUUGGGCCUCGGAACCGCGUGGGUCACUCCUGCAGUAGAAGCAGGCAUCUGCACAGGCUGUUGGAUGAAACCCAGAAGGAAAAGUAGAGGCACAUAACUCCCUCACGUGCCUUCUGGUAACCUUGGGAUUUCUGGGACUCCAGCCUCCCCCAUCCCACUUCAUUCUUUCCUUUGCUUCGCCUCAGUCAGCCUCCUGGCAACCCUUGGCAGCUGGGGCUGCCCCAGGAUUUCCUCUUGCCCAGCAAUCUCCGGGGCAUAGGUGCCCACCCCAAUAGCUCUGCCCUCCGGCCUUACAUUGCUCCUCUGCUUGGUGGCCAGAAGCCUCAUCUUGGGGAGCAGCCAAGAUCAGAGAGGCUAGUGUGGGCAUCACAACUCGACUAAGACGGCUGAGCCCUGGAAAUCCCACGGACACUCUGACCUACACACCGGCCCAGGGAGCCCCAUGGAAUCUGGUUGUUGCAGUGGCUCAGGAGACGUUUCCCAUAGCACACGUUUCCACUGACCAAAGUCACCAUGAGGUCAAGAUGAGUCUAUGCUAUAGGGAAAAUCAGGGUGGUGUAGUGGGUUCAAGUCUGUCCCCCCAAAAUAUGUCCAGCUCCUAA
rnacentral:lncRNA from 1 species